AUGUUCAGUCUAAAGGGACUCAGCACGGACGUCCUCACUCCGCGUCCUAGACUCAGGCCUUUACUUCCCCAGUUGGCGGGAUCAGGUCCGAGGAGCCUGGUAAACAAUCCCGCGUGCUGGGGAAUCUGCAAGGUCUGCUCCCGGCCGGAGCCACAGCCCCACGGCCACGGCCACGCGAACCCGGGGAUCCCUCGGGCCCACGUUCUCUUCUGCAAGCGCUCGCUCCGCUUCCGGGAACGGCGUCCACAGGGCUGGCUCCCCAGGGAAGGAGCGUCCGGAGCCGCAGGUGACCGCCUGACCCCUCCGAUGCCGGCCCCACGCGGCCCGGGGCUCCCGCGGCCGGGCAGGGACACCGCCAGGCCCGGGGCCAGCUUCCUGGGCGGCGGCUCCAAGGUCCCCGACCCGGGCCCGCGGGGGGACGGGUCAGCCGGAGAUGUCGGGCUGUCGGGCUGCGACCCGGACCGCCAGCACCCGCGCUUCCCACGGCGGCACCUCAGCCUCUGCUCUUUGCUAAGAUUUUAUUUAUUCCUGAGGGACCCAGAGACAGGGGCGGAGACCCAGGCGGGGGCAGCAGCAGGCGCGAUGCGGCCUCGACCCGGGACGGGGACCCGCAGCCCCGCAGCCCCGGCCCGCUGCUCAGCGUCCAAGGGCGCCCCUCCCGCGCCUCGGGCUCCGCGGGGCCUUCCUCCGGGGACGUCAGGCCCUGACCCAGCGGCCGCGGGGCACGGUUUCCAGGGGCCCCGAGUGCAGCUGCGGGGGUCAGGACGUCGGCCCCCGGCUCUGGCGACACGGGCACCCGGAAGCCAAGGCGGGAGGCCGGGGGGAGCCCUGCGGAGCAGAGCACGAGCCCUGCAGGGAGCGAGGCGCGGGCGGGCGGGGCCGGUGCAGACUGAGCUCCCGGUGGGCCCCGCCGCUGCAGCGCCCUGGGGCGCCCCCAGAGCCCCCCGCACGCCCGUCUUGGGCCCGCGGUCGGGAUCCCGCUGGGCUCGGGGACUCUGCUGCCGCGGCCCGGGCUGA
rnacentral:lncRNA from 1 species